AGCUUAUGGCUUUGCCAUAUCAUGCAGAAGAUUGUUGCUUCUACUUGUCUCAUUAGAUUCAACAGGAGAGGUACUCUCUGAGCUGGAGGAAGUAAGUGGAUGUGCAGAUAUCUGCUUGCUGAGCACUAGAGGCUACAGUAAAUCAGAAUCAAUUCCAGGCUUUCUCCAAAUCAGGAGCUGAGAAAGAAAGCAGGGUCGGUUUGCAACUACAAAGAUUAGACUAGAAGCUUUUGCUUUCAUCAGCUUCAAGAAUGGAUUUACUGGAUUGCAAUUGUCCUCAUACGGCUUGUAUAUUAUAUAGGUAGUACAUUGAAUACAAAGAAAUAUCUGUAGGAUGAACUUCUGUUACUACCAAGUGAGCCUGUUCAGCUGUGGAUUGUUACAAAGAAAGAAUUAGCAAUGUUUUGUUUCUCUUGUUCAAAAGUCACAUUAUUGUA